GGAGAGGUGUCCGAGUCAGGCCGAAGGAGCAUGGUUGGAAACCAUGUAAGCAAGGAAUUGCUUCAAGGGUUCGAAUCCCUUUCUCUCCA
rnacentral:tRNA from 3 species